rnacentral:rRNA from 1 species
GACGAACGCUGGCGGCGUGCUUAACACAUGCCAGUCGAACGGUGAAGCGCCUUCCUUUUUGGUGGGUGUGGAUGAGUGGCGAACGGGUGAGUAACACGUGAGUAACCUGCCCCCUUCUUCUGGAUAACCGCAUGAAAGUGUGGCUAAUACGGGAUACUCUGGGUCUGUCGCAUGAUGGGUCUGGGAAAGAUAUUGUUUCGGUGGGGGAUGGGCUCGCGGCCUAUCAGCUUGUUGGUGGGGUGAUGGCCUACCAAGGCGGUGACGGGUAGCCGGCCUGAGAGGGUGGACGGUCACACUGGGACUGAGACACGGCCCAGACUCCUACGGGAGGCAGCAGUGGGGAAUAUUGCACAAUGGGCGCAAGCCUGAUGCAGCGACGCCGCGUGAGGGAUGGAGGCCUGCGGGUUGUGAACCUCUUUCGCCAGUGAAGCAGGCCUGCCUCGUUUGUGGGUGGGUUGACGGUAGCUGGAUAAGAAGCGCCGGCUAACUACGUG